rnacentral:lncRNA from 1 species
ACAAAUUAACAUCCAUAGCAAGAAUAAACCAAGUAUCAACAACCAAAUCACAUAUAUUUUCAGCUGAUAAAUUUGUCCUUUUUUGGCGGGUUUUAGUCGAUUUUCGGGCUCAAGAUGGAUUGCAGAAAAGCAGCGAUUCUUGUAUUGGUUUUUGUCAUCUUUGUUGCCAUUAUGGGCCAAGUUCAUGUGGAGGCAGCGAGGUUGCUGACGGAGGAAGACUUCGCCGGUGCCGAUCACUUGGAUAGAUUUCCAUCGGUAUAUGCAAAAGCAAGAGACACGAUGUCAUAUUGGUUUGAAAGGUUGGCAUCUGGACCUAGCCCUAAAGGACCUGGUCAUUAAGCUUAAAAGUAUGGCCAGCAAGUAUUUAGGCAGCAGUUCGGCCAUGCAAGGACAAUGAGCAACCAACAGUAGUAUAUUUUGGUAGUAUUUACCAUUUAGAGAAGGUCUAAGACUCAGUUUUCUUUUUCGUUAUUUCAUUCUUUCUUUCUUUGAUGUCUUGUUACACUAUGAAAUCUUAAUGCAUAGAUGUAUAUUUCUGACUUUUUGCCCAUGAAGUGGCAGCUAUAAUGAUAGUUUUUUCUUUUCUCAAUGCUUUCUUUCAUUUCUUUUGCCCUUGAUCAAUGGUUCAAGCUUUCGACAAUAGCAAGUCCAUGGAUAACUCAGGUGUUCCAGUUCAUCAUACGUAAAAAACAUGAAAAAAAUUUUCUGCACAUUUCAUGAGGCCUUCCUUAGUUUGCAGACACUUCGAUCAACAAAUUAGAAAAUUUUCUGAUGGAUCAUGAGUUGGCUGCAUGAGACAGUGUAGUGCAGCUUUUAUAGAAGCAUUCCUCACAAUGCAUGGAUUAUCAUUUCCUACAACAUACUAUCGAGGAUGAAAACUUCCAUCUACUCCAUAAAGUUGUAUUCUUUUAAGGGUUCUCUGUCUAUAAUAAGUACCUUUAGGACGCUGGUGAAAUGGGAUGAAAUAUUUAUUAUGAUGGCUCUAAUCAAUUCUAUCAAAUUUUUUAUGUGGAUAUCUAUUUUUUCUGUCUAUUCUUAUCUUAUUAAAUGUCCAAACCUUUAUUUAUUUUGUUUAGGUUUAAAUCUCCUACCUAUUAUUGUUACGACAUGUUAUAGUAGCUUGAUUAUUGUUGUUAAGAAACAAUGACAUUUCAUAUUUUUGUCUCCAUUUAUUAUUAUUAUUAUUAUUUUUUGUUGUGAUCAACAAAAAGAGAAAGGCAAAAGGAGAAAAAGGCAAUUUAUCGGCCUUGGCAGACUUUUAUUUCAGAAGAUGUAAAAAACUUAUAUAUAUAUAUAUAUAUAGAGAGAGAGAGAGAGAGAGAGAGAGAGAGAGAGAGAGCAAACAAAAGCCAUAAAAUGAUAGUAGCUGGUUGCAUUGAAGUCAAACUUGAAGUUUGUUUUCUUUCCAUUUUUUCUUCUUGUUCCCUUUUGGGGAGUAUAAUAGUCUUGCGUGGAAAACGAUAUACAAAACUGUUCUAUUUUUUUUCUGUUUUUUUGUCUAACUUUGGGAAUGUACAUCUCACUAAAUCAUAGAGCAAUGUGACGUUUUCUUUCUUUUUUUCUUCUUUUGAAUAGUCAAAACAUGGGAUAGAAAAAAUGAUGCGAAGCUGGUAGAAGGAAUGGUUUCACGAGCUUUUUCGAAAAAUAACAAAGGAGCAAUUCACGAAAACAAAAUUACAACAAAAGACAGAAAACGAAAAAAGAAAAAAAGAAAAACAAAGUACUUCUCCGAUGCCAAUGCUGGCCCCGGUCCUCCACUGAAGGGAAGUCCGUCGCUGAUCUUCAAGCCGGCGCCGAUCUUCGGACUUCCUCUGAAGUCGUGGCCGUGCAGCUUCCGUUUGCUCUCUCUUUUGCCUGCUCCAUUUUGUCCAAAAACUUCCCCGCAACUUGUUCUACAUCAAAAAACUGUUAGUAGGAUAACCUUGAGAAGAUAUACACAUCUAAAAAUAUAGGGAAAAAUGUAUUUUUCAUCCCCAAAACUUGGGUGAGGGACCAAUUUUGUCCUCAAAGUUUCAGCAAUAGCACAUUUAAUCCUCAAUCAUUGUCAAUUUUGGUCAAUUUAGGAUAAUUGACAGAAAACUCUUAAAAUUGGACGGAAAGUAAUCACAUGAGACAUGUGCUCCUUUAGUGUAAUUUAUUGCAGCCAACAAAAAAGAAAAAAUUAUCUUCUUUUUCAUUCUUUUGUCCUUUUUUAACAAUGAAGAACUUUUACAAUAGUCUCGCUGUCAUCAAUUGGACAAUUGGCUAGAAGAUUGGUGAAAGCGGAUCCCUGAAGAACCCCAUUGAAGAAAAAUAUUCUUACAAAUGAAGGAACUAAAUAAUUGGUCACCCCCAAACAAGGAUCUCAUUGUAAUCAUGUUGAAUACUACUAUAUGUAAAAUAGGGAUAAGCUCAUUGUUGACUUUGGAUUUACUUUUUAUUUAUGGUCCCAACUCAAUAGGACCAUUUGGAAGAUUAUAAAUGAUGGUGUCAAUUUGCUCCAUUGGUUUUCAUAAUCCUGUAUCUUGUCUUCUUUUAUUUUAUUCUAUAGCUCAUUAAGAAUAUAUAUAAGUGUAACUAUUAUCAGAAUUGAGAUUGCAAUUGUACAAAAUUGGGAACAAAUUAUGUGACCAGAAUCAUAUGUCAAAAUUGAGAUUUCAGCAAGUUUUCAUACACAAAAUAACUUCCUUACAAACAGAAAAUGUCCAUUUUCGUACAUAAUUGAUCAAUCAACAGCUAGUUUUCAUGCUUCUCUGCUGCUACUUUAGUCUACAUUUAUCCUAAAUCCUACCUCUUACAAACAAAGGAUUAUCCAACUAGCAUUCUAGCAAACACAUUUGUUUCCACAAAAUACAAUCUCAGUCUGGCAAAUUUAGCAAGAUUUCAUACUAGACUUAGCAACAGCUUGCCCCAUUUUCCAUUUGCUUUGCCUGUUCUCCUCCAACUCAAAACCAACAACAUCAUUAAGACCACAAUAAUGUUGAUGAGAAGUUUCUCCCUCUUUUGAAUCUUUUCAACUAACUUAUGCACCAUUUUUGGUAAACCAAGUAUAAGUACCCUUCCUCUUGGACCAAUUCCCUCAUCAACCCCAUCAAAAUACUUGCACCUGCCGAGCCUCUAAUAAAACACGAUUCAAAAAUUUGUUAAAAUUAAAGUUUUACUGGUGUGUCAAUAGUACAAUGAGUUUUUACCGGCCACAAAGAACAACAAAGAAAUCUUCUUUCGAAUUGUCAUCGUGUUAACAAGUUGUUAGUUUUGUCCUCAAUCAACAAUUGCAGACAGAUGUUGAUGAAAUCGAAGAAGCAGAACUUCUAAUUCUUAUUUUAGCACUCUAGGUUCUCCAUGGCUUUCGCUAUUACAAGUAGAAUAAUAGGUAUUGAGCAUGAUGAAACUUUGCCUGCAAAACUUAGGGCUAGAAAAAACAGAGCAUAUACUCAAAAAAGAAGGAGAAACGAAUGAAAAAAGAAGACAGUUUUCCCCAUUUUGUUGGCUGCAAUAAAUUAAACUAACGGAGUAUGCUUCUCACGUGACUACUUUCUAUCCAAUUUCAAAAGUUUUCCGCCAAUUGUCCUAAAUUGACCAAAAUUGAUAAUGUUUGAGGAUUAAAUAUGUUCUUGUUGAAACUUUGAGGAGGAAAUUGGUCGCUCACCCAAACAUUAGGAAUAAAAAGUGUAUUUUUCCCAAAAUAUAUUUAUGAAGUUUAUCGCCUUUUUUUUUAUUAGUAGGGAAGAGGCAAGAUUUAAGAAGCGAAAAGAGAGAAAUUACAUAUUAAUCAAUAGGAGAUAGACAAGCAUUAUUCGAACUUGUCCAUAUUUAUUUUUCAUCUUCACUAGUAAUUAAGGAGUCUAAUUCAGGUUCUUGUUAUAGACACAUAAGGUCAAAAAUAGACAGAACUAAGGGGCGGGAAAGUCAAGGCUGCCCAAGUUUUUCAAAAGACUAGUUGGAAAUGGGCCUUGUGCUUCGCCUAAGGUUGCCCAGGCAAAGAUGUUGACUGGCGGUGCACAUAUGUGGGAAAUAAAAAAUUUCAAAACAGGAGAAAAAACGGAAAUUUAAGGAAACAAUCAGCAAUACAGAAAGAAGAGAAGUAACCAUUUACAUAGAUGAAUGUAUUCUGCUAUCAAUUUGAUUUCAUUAGUAAGGAGAGUAUUCUAAAUAAAUAUGGGUCUGUCUAACAGGUCGCUCAUAGAGCAUUCAUUAAGAUAUAUUUCAGAUGUCAUAUUUUUGAAAAUAUAAAAUUAAUUAGAAAAAAUAAAUAUACAAGAAAGGAUAGGUAAGAUUAAAUAGGAAAAAUAUAGAAAUGCAAAUAAGGAUAAUUGUUAGUAUGUACAUAUACAUGAUAAGUUAGAUGAAUGUUAAAUGUGUUAAUGAAUGGCCACGGGGCACCCGUUGGAAAAAUCUAACAAAUAUGACUAUUGAUCUGGCAACCAUUGGUGUACUAAGUGUAGGAAUCACAAUGGGAACCAAAGCUGAAACAGUAGGUAGAUAUAAGGUAUAUCUUAUUAAGUAAGGAAAAAGAACUCUGAUUUGUUUAAUAAACAGAAAAAUUUUUGAUGCACUUGAAUUAAGCAGAGUUCAUAAAAGAACAUAUUCUAUUAGCUAGUAAAAAUCGUGUCUGAUGUCAAUAAUGAGGGUAAAAAUUUUAGUUAAGUUUCAUAAAGAUAAGAUAAUAGAAGACGUUAAAAUCAUUACGAAACGGUAAGAAAAUAAGGCAACCAAACUCUCAUAACAUGAAUUGAAAUAAGUAAAAAGACUAAUAAUAUCAGUAACUAACAGUUGCAGGGUAAGUUUUCAAUAAAACUAUUCAUGUAAGUAAUAUCAAUGGUCUAAUUGUAUUCACAAGUGUGUUAAUGAAUAAGGUAAUUAAAGUUGUAAUAUAUGAACAUCAUUUCUUGGCUAAACAUCUACAUGCAACCAAUAACAAGAAGCCAAUUUUCCUAAGUCCAGCAGUCAAGAACAAAAUUUCAAACUACCGUUUGUAAUAGUGGAAUGCAAAAAGACAUAAAAACCACACCAGUUUAUCCAAUCCAUUUCAUUGCUAACAAGGACAUAGAGGGAACAGAGGGGCCUCAUUGUAAAACAACACUUGAAAAUCAGGACAUUAUGAUAAAAACAAAGAAAUAAGCAAACCGUUCUCAGCCCAAUAGUCCAAAAAACGCCUUCCAAAUUUACCAAAACACUCACCUAGUUAUGGUCACCACAAGGGGCCAUGGAUUACUAUUCACAAACUCAACUUCCCAUUUUUUGUUAGGGAUUAGUUUGUAAGUAAUCGCAAAAGAUUUCAUAGCGUGAGCGAUCAAAAAAUAGGGACAGAGAUAUAUUUAAACUGUGGAUAUGUUUGUAAGUAAUACUAUGUUUACAUUAGAGUAUUAGAUAUAUUAGAUCAACUUUUUAGUCUUUUUGAGGUUAAAGACACAAAAGCAAUACGUGCAUUAUGGAUAAAAAAUUGUGUAUGUUCAUGAUUGAAGAUCAAAUUUACCAAUUAUCUAAUUCUCUAACCAUAACUGUUACAACUUCUUUUAGUAGUUUGAUAAUUUUUGUUAAGGAAUUAUAACAGUUCAUGAUUUUAUGGCCAUUUAGUUUUCGAAUGGGGGCUGCCUGAUAGACAACUAAAGGAAAAACAGAAAAAGACUGCAAAACCACAAUGAAAAUGACACUCUUCUUGUUUAUUAUGUUGUUUAUUUUGUUAACGAAAGGAAGAGAAAAUUUUGCUGUAUCAAGAGAAAAAAUAAGGGAAGAAGAGACAACUUAGCAGCCAUGAAAUCUUGAAAAAAAAGAAGAAAAACUUAGCAGCCCUGGAGCUGACUUUUAUCUCCAAAUCCAUUAUUAAUGUGAAAUGGAAACCAAGAGAAUCCAAAUGACUAAAUGUUCAAAGAAAAAUAUAACUCAAAAGAAAGGCCAUGACAUAAUAAAAAAAAAGAAAAGGGCAAAACCCCAAAAUAUGCGAAAAUAAUGGCAUGGCCCAUGGCAAAUCCAAAAGCAGAAAGUCGAAGUGAGCCCAAUUAUGCAUUCCUACAGCCGGUUCUUGCGCCCAACGAUCAGAGUUGCGCUAAUAAAAGUCAAUCACGAAUAAGACCACUUCAAUAUUACAUCUACUUCGUCAACACGUAACACAGUUUGGAGAAUAUUCAACCCUUUACGUUCAAAGUUUCAAACAUGACUCCAAACCGCUCUUACUCUCCCUGCUAUAAAUACGCCAACAAUCUCCCCACUUCUGCAUCCAUUGCAAGCAUAACCAAGCAUCAACAACCAAAUCACCUAUAUUUUGAGCUGGUAAAUUUGUUCUUUUUUCGCGGGUUUUAGUCGAUUUUCGGGUUCAAGAUGGAUUGCAGAAAAGCAGCAAUUCUUGUAUUGGUUUUUGUCAUUUUUGUUGCCAUCAUGGACCAAGUUCAUGUGGAGGCAGCGAGGUUGUUGACAGAGGAAGAGUUCGCAGGUGCCAAUCACUUGGAUAAAUUUCCUUCGGUCUAUGCAAAAGCAAGAGACACGAUGUCGCAUUGGCUUGAAAGGUUGGCUUCUGGACCUAGCCCUAGAGGACCUGGUCAUUAAGCUUAAAAGUAUGGCCAGCAAGUAUUUAGAGAGCGGUUCAGCCAUGCAAGGACAAUGAGCAACCAACACUAGUAUAUUUUGGUAGUAUUUACCAUAUAGAGAGGGUCCAAGACUCUUUUUUUUUUUUUUUGGUUAUUUCAUUCUUUCUUUCUUUGAUGUCUUGUUACACUAUGAAAUCUUAAUGCAUAGAUGUAUAUUUCUGACUUUUGCCCUUGAAGUGGCAGUUAUAAUGAUAGUUUUUUUUUUCUCAAUGCUUUCUUUCAUUUCUUUUGCCCUUGAUCAAUGGUUCAAGCUUUCUACAAUAGCAAGUCCAUGGAUAACUCAGGUGUUCCAGUUCAUCAUACGCAAAAAACUUGAAAAAAUUUUUUUACACAUUUCAUGAGGCCUUCCUUAGUUUGCAGACACUUCGAUCAACAAAUUAGAAAAUUUUCUGAUGAUGGACCAUGAGUUGGCUGCAUGAGACAGUGUAGUGCAGCUUUUAUAGAGGUAUUCCUCACAAAGCAUGGAUUAUCAUUUUCUAGAAGAUACUAUCACGGAUUAUCAUAUCCUACAACAUACUAUAGUGUUGAAAACUUCCGUCUACUCCAUAAAGUUGUAUUCUUUUAAGGGUUCUCUGCCUAUAAUAAGUACCUUUAAGCCACUGGUGAAGUGGGCUGAAAUAUUUAUUAUGAUGGCCCUAAGAUCAAUUCUAUCAAAUUUUUUAUGUGGAUAUCUAUUUUUUUCUAUCUAUUUUUAUCUUAUUAAAUGUCCAAACUUUUAUUUAUUUUGUUUAGGAUUAAGUCUCCUACCUAUUAUUGUUACGACAUGUUAUAGUAGUUUGAUUAUUGUUGUUAAGGAAACAAUCACAUUUCAUAUUUUUGUCUCCAUUUAUUAUUAUUAUUUUUUGUUAUAAUCAACAAAAAGAGAAAGGCAAAAGGAGAAAAAGAUAGUUUAUCGGCCCUGGCUGACUUUUAUUUCAGAAGAGAUAAAAAACUUAUAUAUAUAUAUAUAUAUAUAUAUAUAUAUAGAGAGAGAGAGAGAGAGAGAGAGAGCGCAAACAAGAGAAAAUUCCAAAUUUACGAUGAAUUUUUAAAAAUUUUUGCAAAGGGGCAGUUUGAGGAUGCAAUUCGGUCCAAGGGGUCUUCGCAUUCAGCAGAUGUGAGCUCCAAAGUCAUUUCGCAUUUUUACGCCCAGAAAGCCAAAAAAAAUAAAAAAAAAAAGUUAACAUUGACCUCGCAUUUCAGAAAUGCGAGGUUAGUGACUUGUAAAAAAAAAUUUUGCUUAGUUGGAGCUCUAAAAAAAUAUUUUUUUUUAUGUUACAGCUAUCAUGAUAUGAAAAAUAUUUGUUCCGUUAGAGAAAAUAAAUAUUUUUUAAAUAUUUAUUGUAACUGCGAUCAUUUUGCUCUUUUUUACCACUUCGCAUAUUGUCAUUUAUUAAAUGCGAGCUCCUAAAAAAGUUAAAGUAAAAUAAUAUUUGUUUUCUCCUAACGAGCUUCUACAAAAUUAAAUUUAAAAAAGAUUUGUUUUCUUAGAGUACUAAACGCGAGCUCUUAGAGAAUUAAAUUUCGCACAAUAUUUGUUUUGUAGAUCUCUCAUUUACUAAAAGCAAUCUUUAGUAAAAUCUUAUUUUUUAAAAAAAUAAUUGUUUAGGCAUUCAUGAGUGGGAGGAGAAAAUAUUUUGGAUCUCGCAUUCGAUAAAUGCGAAUUCAUAGAAAACUACAUUAAAAAAUUGCUUAUUUUUUUAAUUUAAGAGCUCAUAAUCAUUUUUGUUUUCGAAUUGACAUUUAUCAUAGAGGAAUAAAUCCUUUUUCUUUUUAAUUAUAGAUUUGUGAAAAAAAUCUAUAAUUUGAACAUAAAAAGUUGUACGACAACACUACAAAAUUUAAUUAUUCAAAAUCAGAAUAUAGUCCUUGCAGAUAAAAUAAUCAAUCAAGACUAAGCCCAAAACCAAAUUAGCCUCGAUUUUCGUGCUAAUCGCUACUUAGCAAGGAAAGUGAAGAAAAUGCAACUCAGCAAUGUAAGUGGAGAAAACGCGACUUAGCAAAACGCGACUUCAAGUCGCAUUUUGUGAAGUCACGUAUUGUGUCUAUUGUACGAAGCUUUAAAACGUGAAUUCCCUUCUCAGUUUUCUUCUUCAUCUUCUUCUUCCAGCCGCAUUUUUUAAUGUAGUUUUCUAUGAAUUUGCAUUUAUCAAAUGCGAUAUUCAAAAUAUUUGUGAGGACUCGAAAUUUCUAUUAUUUUAAAAUCCCUAAUUUUGGCUCAAUUAAUUAUUUAUUUGGAUUUUUGCCACGAAUAAUAUUUUCUAGCCUAUUAGAUCUAAGUACAUGAUUUUAUAGUUCGUUAUAUUUCUAAAGUGUCUCAUUUUAAAAAAAUAAAAUAAAAUAAAAAUAUAGAUGAAUAAACAAAUAUUUUCAUAAAAACUUAAUUAGUGAAAAAGUGGAAACGUAUUUCAACUUUAGCCAAUUGGGAGUGCAAUAAGCUAAAAAUUUAAGACAUAUACAAUGGUCCUAAAAUAGACAAUUUUAGGUUUAAACAUACAAGUAAUAACUAGUGGUACAAUCGUUAUAAGAAUUUUUCAAAGGUUUCAAUUUUAUUGUGCCUAAAUUAGAAAUACGUGUUUUCACGUGCGCGCUUAAUUGGGAGACUUUGGACCAUUAUUUUGAGACAACUAGGAAUGAAUAAUAUUUAUACAAAUGUAAGUGCCCUAGAGGUUUAGUGCACUAGUGCAACAAACGUAAGAGAAAUCGAACACAAAACGCGAGUAUAGGGUACUAGUUAUAAUUGAUUUGACGUAUUAAAAGAUUUGACGUCAAGCGUCUCUUAUACGCAAAGGCUUCGGAACUGCAAUUCAUUUCCUUUCCUCUGCUGCAAUGGACGGCUAGACUGUAGCAAAGGAACAACCGAAGCUUCACCAUUUCUUCUCUUCCAAAACUCAACCAAAUUCCUACCAAAACUUCCAUAGAUUCUCACCAAACUUCACAUUCAUUUAGCUUUUCACUUGGACAACAACAUAGGCUGAAAAAGGGAGGAGCUUUCACGGUUUCUUCAAGCUUCAAAGGACCGAAAAAUCUGUCCAAACCAGCCAUCAAAGUAGGUAGCAAGCUAACACCUUCAACUUGUCUUAUGGUAGCUGAUUUACGCAUUUGAGUUGGAAUCUUUACUUUAAUAGCUUGUAUUGUUGGAAAUGUGGGCUCUAUGAACUCCCACUUUGGGUUGAUGGCUGUGAUGAUGUUUGAUGAUGGUUUAUUUGCUGAAUUAGAGCUUAAGGAAGUAGAUUAAAGGUGCUUUGUUACCAGAAACGUUAUUGAACUCUUGAAACAAAAAGUUCCCAUUUUACCCCUGCUCUGUUCGGUCACUUAAAUGCAGAAAUUUGAGGAUUUAAUGGCUUGAUUAUGUUGUAUAUAUGUUGUAGUAGUUGUGUACAAAAUUUCAUUGAAAAAUAUUGAGUUUUGAUGGGUCAAACGAAUUUAUUUCCAAAGCUAGUAAUCUGGGAAAACGGUUGCCGUCGUAACCAGACCAGUGUUCGUGUUUCGUCCAUAACUCCGUACUCCGACGUCGAAAUCAAGUGCCGUUAGCGGCAUUUGAAACUAGACGUUCCCAUGUUUCCAACGGUGUAUAGUGGACAUUCUGGUUUCAUGUGUGUGAGCCAUACCAUUCAUCUGAAGUCGGCUGUCCUGUUUCUCCGUUCUGCCGAAAUGAUUUGAUGAUGCUGCAACUUGAGGCUUGAUUUUGAACCAGUUGCAUGCUGAAACUUGAAACGAUUUCUUCUGUAAAGUUGUAACCCUGUGAAUUUAUUUUCUAACACUAUCAACCAUUUCCAAUUCCGAGUUAAAUUGAGAGAGUUAUGAUCAAAAUACGGCGACUGCCUCAUUUUUGAAAACCUUAGCUUUGGACAGAUUGCCUUAAGGAUUUUCCAAACUUUGGUUGAUUGAUUAACCACCUUUCCGAGGGUAUUUUUCCAUGAAAUUUGAUAGAGAGUUACCCUUCAUAUAGGAGUAGUAUACUGCAAAAUUUGGUGUCAAUCCAAGUCCGUUUCGACACUUAACAAAAGGUCCAAAGUCGGAACCAAAUCUGGAAAUUUUGUAACAGUCUUGAAUUUUUCCCAACUUUGAGCUACCAUAUCUUGGUGCUCGAAACUCCGAUUCUCGAUCCGUUUGUUCUGUCCUAAACCUUACUUGCACCUCUAAUUGAUCUAUAAAUUUCAAGGGCUGGUUUGCAACAAGUGAAUUCUGCCGAAUUUUCAAAGUUAGCGAAAAACCAACCCCGGCUCAAUCCUGAGUGAUUUGGAACAGCAACUUUAGGCUCAUUUUUGAGCACUUUCCACUUCGAUUCAUGGAAAAGUGUCUUCUAGGAACUUGCAGUACUUUCUAAGAGGUUUUCAACGGUAUAAAGUUUUCCAAUUCUCGACUUAUGCCGAGUGAGUUACGAUUUUUCAAAGAUUCAUAACAAAACUGAAAAUUUUCCAACUUUCAAGGAAAUAGAGUUUUUCAAGAAUUCUUUAUUCUUUUGAUAUUAUCUAAACGUUUUAUCCCCGAUUUCCUAGAUAAAGACUUAAAUAUUGUUGAAUGUUAUCAAACCUCUCUUGAACCUCGAUUUACGAAUAAUUGAGGUUCAUUUUCACGGAGUUUCCUAGAGUAAUACUAGUGAACGAAUUAUUCCUCGAUAUUUGGGAUAUGGGUGAUAAUUCACUAUUAUUUGCUCAGGCACGCACGAGGACCUCCAAGAGGACCCUACUGUGGAAGUUUGAACUCUUCCUCCAAUUUACUUGCUUGCAUAACUUGGUGAGUGUCAAGUGUAUGCCUACUUGAACUCUAAAGUCUUGAUUCAUGCUUGACUUACCUGAUUACAUGCUUAGUCUAUUUGAUCUUGAAAAAUGGAGUCGAGUGUGUACUUAAUCGCACUCGUUCUCAUUUGGCACAAAUGACUCAUGUCUAACAUGAUUUGCCUGGUUUACAUGACUUAAAAUGCCGGCUUAAACAUGUCAAAUGCUUUAAUACAUGAAAUGGUAUGCUAUGAUUGCAUACGUCGAUGGAGUGAAUCUCCUCGACAUUUACAUGAUACAUGGGGGACGUCCAAACUCAUAGGCCGACCUUGGAACUCGAGCCGGCAUGGGUUUGGUCGGGAACCUCGGUGAACCAUGAGAUUCACAUGAUAAGCUUGAUCUAUUGAGAGAUCUCGCUUGGCAUACUCGUAAAGUAUCGCCUUAUAAAUGUCGUGCGGGCCCGAAGUGGUAUAUGGUGGACGGAUGAGAAGUAAGUGGUGAACUACGGAUAUGAAAAUAUCAACCCGGGUGACGGAGAGUCAUCACGGGAAGAUAUACAAAUGACAUCGGCAAAUGUGGAACUUAGCUCCUGAGAGCUUCUAUAUCCUUGAAUUGUUUCUGGUUACAUUUUGUCGGCAUUAUUAAUUACUUGCAAGCUAUUACCUGAAUUGUUAUUUGGGCUUGUUAUCUGAACGAUGUGUCUGCAUGUGUGUUCUUGGCCUCACGAGCGUUUUGCUCACCCUGUAGAUUUGUUUUCCUUAACAGGUUUGAACUCGGCGGUAAAAUGGAGAAGCCCUUUUGAUGUACUUUUGUUUAGGGCUUGUUAUUACUUUUGGUUAUGCCUUUGGUUUUGGAAUUGUACUUUCGGUAUGGAAAUGUAACCUUUGGAUGAAAUGUAAUCUGUAUUCUGACGUGUGGUUGGAGAAUGGUUGACUAUUAUUAAGUUUGAACGUUUCCUCAUUUAUUGUAUCUAAGUUUCGGUUUGUAUUGUGUGGUCCGGCUAUAAGUUGAAUGGAAUUGCUUGAGUCCUGGCGAGAGCUAGGCAGGCGUCCCGCGGAUACCCUUUGGUUCGCCUUAGGGAGAAGUGGGGGCGUCACAAUAUUUACUCCUCACACUCCAUGAAUGCCUAAACAAUUAUUUUUUAAAAAAUAAGAUUUUACUAAAGAUUGCUUUUAGUAAAUGAGAGAUCUGCAAAACAAAUAUUGUGCGAAAUUUAAUUCUCUAGGAGCUCGCGUUUAGUACUCUAAGAAAACAAAUCUUUUUUAAAUUUAAUUUUGUAGAAGUUCGCUAGAAGAAAGCAAAUAUUAUUUUACUUUAACUUUUUUAAGAGCUCGCUUUUAUUAAAUUAAAUGACAAUAUACAAAGUGGUCAAAAAGAGCAAAAUAAUUGUAGUUACAAUAAAUAGUUAAAAAAUAUUUAUUUCCUCUGACGGAACAAAUAUUUUUCAUAUCAUGAUAGCUGUAACAUAAAAAAAAUUUUAGAGCUCCAACUAAGCAAAUUUUUUUUUUUACAAGUCACUAACCUCGCAUUUUCGAAAUGUGAGGUCAUGGACCUCGCAUUUUCGAAAUGCGAGGUCAAUGUUAACUCUUUUUUUUUUUGGCUUUCUGGGUGGAAGGAAUUGCAUUCUCAAACUGCCCCCUUUGCAGAAAUUUUUUAAAAUUCAUCAUAAAUUUGGAAUUUUUACAAGUCAUAAUUUUUUUUUUACAAUUCAUCAUAAUUUUUUUUUACAAGUCACUAACCUCGCAUUUCCGAAAUGUGAGGUCAUGGACCUCGCAUUUUCCAAAUGCGAGGUCAAUGUUAACUCUUUUUUGUUUGUUUUUGGCUUUUCUGGGUGGACAGAAUUGCAUUCUCAAAUUGCCCCCUUUGUAGAAAUUUUUUAAAAUUCAUCAUAAAUUUGGUAUUUUCUCCGCAGACAAAAGCCAUAAAAUGAUAGUAGCUGGUUGCAUUGAAGUCAACCUUGAAGUUUAUUUUCUUUCCAUUUUUUCUUCUUGUUCCCUUUUUGGGAGUAUAAUAGUCUUGCGUGGAAAAUGAUACACAAGACUGUUCUUUCUUUUUUUUUCUUCUUUUAAAUAGUCAAAACAUGGGAUAGAAAAAAUGAUGCGGAAGCUGGUAGAAGGAAUGGUUUCACGAGCUUUUUCCAAAAAUAACAAAGGAGCGAUUCAAGAAAACAAAAUUUCAACAAAAAACAGAAAACGAUAAAAAAGAAAAGAAAAACAAAAUGCUACACUGAUGAAGUCCGAUGCCAACGUUGGCGUCGGUCCUCCUCUGAAGGGAAGUCCGGCGCUGAUAUUCGGACUUCCUCUGAAGUCGUGGCCGUGCAACUUCCGUUUGCUCUCUCUUUUGCCUGCUACAUUUUGUCUAAAACCUUCCCAUCAACUUGUUCUAUAUCAAAAAACAGUAGUGGGAUAACCUUGAGAAGAUAUGCACACCUAAAAAUAUAUUUAUGAAGUUUAUCACCUUUGUUUAGUAGGGAAAUGGUAAGAUUUAAAAAGGGUAAAGAGAGAAAUUAAAUAUUAAUCAAUAGGAGUUAGGCAAGCAUUAUUCGAACUUGUCGAUAUUUAUUUUUCGUCUUCACUAGGAAUUAAGUAGUCUAAUUCAGGUUCUUCUUAUAGACACAGAUGGUCAAAAAUAGACAGAACUAAGGGGCGAGAGAGUCAUGGCUGCCCAAGUUUUUCAAAAGACUAGUUGGAGAUGGGCCUCGUGCUUCGCCUGAGGUUGCCCACGCAAAGAUGUCGACUGGCUAUCUAUGUUUUCAGACUCGGACCGGAUAUCGACUCGGUUAAUAUUAGAGAUCAGGGGUCAAUGGAUUAUAUUAGCUUUAAUCGAAGGUUGAACCGGAUGAUAUCAUAAAUAGAAAUAUUUAAAAAUUAAAAUAUUAUAUGCAAAAUACCUAAGAGCAUAUUAAUAUUAAUAAAGGUAUAUUCAUAUAUAUUUGAUGUUUCAAAUGUAUUUAACAAGAAAAUAUAAAGAAAUUAGAAUGAUCAAGUAGCAAUUUAUAUUAUUCAAUGAACAUUAACAAGUUUAAAAAUAAAAUUAUGGAUUUGAUUGAAAAAUAGUACCAAACUUUAGGACAAUAUUUAUAAAGUAUGAAAUAUUUGAGGCAUAUUAAUAAUUUUGAAUAACUUAGGUGUCAAAACAUAAUAUUGAAAAUACGUUGAUCCCAAGUCAUUCAAAACAUAAUUUGAAAGGUGACGCUUAUCAAAGUAGUUGUAGGACCACGUUACUCCUACAAAGACCAACCAAAACAUAGGGGCCUAUUUGGAACUUGAGUUUUUAUUCAAGUUUGUCUUAUACUAGGUUUUUUUUAUCAACUUUAAUUACAGUAACCUAAAAAAACUUUUCAAGGUUUUUUAAAAGUUUUUUUUUUAUCUAUACACUUCAAAAUAUCCAAAACACAAAAACAAAAAAAAAUUCCUUCCCCUUUUCUUCUUCUUCCUCCCCCACCUCAAUCCACCACCACCUCUGUUGCCAGCCACCACCUCUGCCACCGGUUCUGGCGCCGAUCACCUCUUCCGGUGCCAAUUUUCUUUUUUUUUUUCUUUCUCCCUCUCCCCCUCUUCCUCCCCACCAUCCUCCUCCUUUGCCCGAUUUGAUCCUCCCCUUUUUUUUCUCCCUCUCCCUCUCCCCCACUCCUCCCGUUAAUACACAAAAAACUUUCUCUUUUCUUCUUCUUUCUCCCCUACCCCGAUCCACCACACCUUCAUUGCCGACCACCACCUCCGCCGCUGCUUCCGGCACCGAUCUUCCUUUCUUUUUCCUUUCUCCCUCUCCCUCUCCCCCUUUGACCGAUCUGUUGGUGCUCCCCUCUCUUUUCUUUUUUCUUUUUUUUUCUCUCCCUUCCCCUCUCCUUCCCUCCCUUUUCCCCCUCCCCUCCCCUGCCACCCUCCCCCUCUCCCGCGCGAUCGGCCGCGCGAUCGGAUCGCAGCCCGCAUCUAUGAUAUGAUCAAACGACCAGAUUGGGCAAAGGGGGAAGGGGACGGGGAGGAGAGGGAGAUGGAGAAGAGGGAGAGAGAAAAAGCAAAAAAAAAACCAAGAAAAGAAAAAACCAUGGCUGCAAGUUCUUUAGCAUCGGGAGAGAGAGGGAGAAGAGGGGAAAAAAAGUUUUUCAUCUUAAAAACUUUUUUCAAAAACUUCUACAGGGUUAAUUCCACUUUGCACCCUUUAACUUUGGCCUCAUUCCCACUUACGUCCUUAAACUUCAAAAUAGAAUACUCAACUCCUUAAAAGUACAAAAUUCAUCCCAUUUAAGUACAAUUCUUGACGGAAUGUAAAAAAUUAACAGAAUAAGUGGCAUAUCCCGUUAACUAAUUAUUAUAACCAAAAUAAUUCAAAUUUACAAGGGGCAUAAAUGUAAAUUCAGGAGGCCAAAAAAUAAAAAGAAAAAAAAAAGCCUCUCAAUCAUUGUUCCCGGAGCUCCGCCGCACCAAGUCCUUCUUCGCCUCCAAAACACGAUGGCCUAGGCUUGAAUUUCUCUAGCACUUUCAAGCCUCAAUGCAAGUCUUGCGAUGUUCACGUCCGCAACACCCUCUGGUCCCUUUUCACUCUCGAUGAUGAGUCUAAAGUCACCACCUCUGCCAAACCCUCUACCUCUUCGUCUUCUUUAAAUCCUCAACAUUGCAUCAUCACCAAAGAUACCCAUGAUGAUUUUGUGAAUAAACCUGUUUUUGAGUCCAAAGAAGAAAAAGAAGGGAAGCCUCAAAACGAAGAAUAUGUAUGCAAUUACAAUAGCAGCAGCAACAACAAUACAACAAAAACGAGUCUGAUGAAAUCACCCUUGUAGCACAUCAAUUUGGAGAUUGUGGAACAAGAAGAGGUGGUCGAUUUAGUCCCACAAAAUCGAUGAAAGAUUAUAUAGAUCUCGAUUCUCAACCAAAUAAGCCUUUUGAAGGAGGCAAAGUGAGAGAAAUUGCAGGAAUUGCCUGCAAUUUCUCGUCUACUAUCUCAGUGUUCAAUAAGAAAUGGCACAGUUGGAGGCGUAAGCAGAAGAUGAAGAAGCCAAGCAAUGGUGAGUUAAUGGCUUUAUUACCUGUGAUGAAGCCAAUUACUAGGCAGCACAGAGAGACUUAGUCCCAAAUUGUGGAUUUUGGGUUUGAACAACGUUUUUGUAAUACUGAGCAUUGGUUCUCUCUUGAUGCCGAGGGGAUUAGCUUUGAUGAUUCCAAGUACUUGUUCAACGAAACACGGGCUUCUCUCUGGAGGGUUGCAUUGAAGUUUUUUUUUUCAGUGUUGAAGAAAGGUGCAUACUUUUUUUUUUAACAGAAGAAAGCAGUGAAAUUUUUAUAAUCGAAGGAAACACAAAAUCGUAACACCAGUAGUGAAUAUAUGAACAAGAGUUACCACACUCUACUCAAGGAAGAAACUCUAGUCAAGAGUUAUGACAAAGUUAUUUACAACACAUUUUAUUUGUGGAGAUAAAAAGCUUUGAGCACAAAGUUGCACAAACAUUCACUUCAACUCUUGUGGGCCUCUUCUUCAGCUUUCUUUUCAGACUUCUCACGUUCAGCUUUCUCCGCCUUCAGCUUUUGCUUCUCCAACGUCUCCCGCUCCCAUUUCUGAAUGUAGAUGUUCUCCUUAGCACGUUCACUACAACAAAAAUGAUCUUUCCUGACAUGCCUAUAAGGACACUUGAUGGUUUAUGUCAUUAUAGCACUUCUAUCAUGACAUUUGUUAUCAACUCAAUAAUAUAUACUCUAUUUUUAUUUUAUUUUAUUUGAUAUAAAAAUAAUAAUGUGCUUUUAGACUACUUAUCAUGACACUUGAGAAAAUGUGAGAUUCACCCAAAUUAAAAAAAAAAAGAAAGACACUAAACUAAACGACAUGGCUUGUUUUGGCGGAAGAUUCAUUUGCCAUGAAAUAUUCAAAACUUUCAAAUUGCCGGCCAAAAGACUUUGUCAAAUUUUGCUUCAUCUCAUCUCUCUCGCAAGAAACACUCUCUCCUCAACAAAUUAUCCUCGGCAAAUUAUCUCUAGCCAAAACACUUGGAGUUUUUUCUACUGAAUCUCCCUGCAAACAAACUUUCCUUGCUUUCCCAUUGAAGGUAUGUAAUUGCAUGGUAAUUUUUUUUUUAUUUUUUGAGCAAUUAGAUAAUGUUUUUGCUAAAUGUCACCGUAAAGAAGCUGUCCAUUCUUCAAGCUUUCCCAUUACUGCUACCAUUUAUUUCGAGCCAAACAAACACAAUCCAAUUGCCAAUUGCAAAUUGCAGCAGAUGAGAGGAAAAAAUGCUUCUGUACCUGCACUCGAGUACAACCCCCUUACUUAUAUGUUCGUGUACAUGGCAGCCAAUCACUAUUUUGCAUAUGAGGUAAUGUUUAAGCUUUUUUCUGGACAUUAUUAGCUAUUCUUGAAGCUGUGUACUCUAUUGUGUUGAAUUAUGAGGGUUAAGUUUCAAAGUUUGCCCUAAAUUGAUUACAUUUGAGAUUAGUCCCAUCUGUUUGAGAUUGAAACGGAUAUAGUAAUAGUUUAUGAUUUGAGUGCACUUGUUGUUCAGCUUUGUUCCUCUCGAUUGUCUACUUGAUUCAUGUGACUAUUUUUGUUAUGCACUUACUGCCCAUAACCUGUUUGAUAAAAUGUGGCAACAUAGCAAAUGGACACUGUACUUGGUUGGCUUACUACUUAAUAUCCAGGUUAUCUUGUGAGAUUUUUGUUGACAUAUAUAUACACAGGUUUCCUUUACAUAUUACACAUGUUAUAGUCCAUUGAAAAUGAACAUAGUGCCGGCAAAUUGUUGACUAGCCAUGGCUUUUUAGGUUGUCAUUGAUGAUGCUUAAAUCUGUGAAUUUCUAUGCAGCUAGAGAAGUCCUACUCAACACAGGAACUUUGCCAUCUUCUAGGAACUGUAAUUGUGAAGAAGGCAUGGGUGCAAUCUAUAUUGGGUGGGUCCUACUAUCAUAGGUAUGGUAAAUACUAGAAAAUUUUUUAUUACUUUCUAUACGAAAGUCACAUGUGCACACAGUGUGUAAACAAAACACAGUAUGAUGUUGAAGUUAUUGAUGCUGACCCUGUGAAAGUGGAGGAAAUGGCAAAAAAAAAGGAAAUUUUUGAUGAAGAUGAUGUCGACAAGUUGGAAGACAGGCCUCUUGUUCUAACCAUCAUGGGACACGUGGACCAUGGGAAAGUAAGCAACAAAAUUUUUUCUUGUAGUUGGUUUCAAGAAGCAUUAUGUGUGUCGCCAGUUAAUGGAUCUUUUUUGAAGUCAUUAUGAUCUCAUCCCAUGAAAUAAUUUUACCUUUCUUUGUUAUUUGAUUGUUGCCUAUGAACAUUUUGUGUGCUUCCAGUUAAUUGAUCUUUAGGAGAGUCAUUCUAGAUUUAUUGUCCCAUAACAAUCUUUAGCUAAUAUAUUACUGGUUUUCUUUUGGGUUGGCAGACCACACUUUUGGAUUACAUCAGGAAAAACAAGGUAUGAAUCGAUUAUUUUUAUUGAUGUUCACGUUGAGGUACAUUUUUUGUAAUGCCAUUACGAUUUGAUGACUUUAGAAGAAGUACCUUAUUCUGUCUUAUGUUAUGAUACUUGAAUAGCAGGGAACUAAAUCUUAGACAACCUACUGUAUGUGGCAGCAUCUGAAGCAGGUGGAAUUACUCAAGGCACGGGGGCAUAUGAUAGGUUGCAAUUUAUUCAUUUAUUUUAUUAUUAAUUGCCCCUAUUACCUGAUUUGAUGUGGGUUUAUUGAUGGAUUCUACUCACUUUUAGUAUUUUUGCACUUAUUUCAGGGAGUAGAACGGAAAUAGGAUAACAGGUGAAAAUUGAGCAGAAAAGGGAUCCAGAGGGCAGAGCUUGUCUCAGGGGUCUUUUUGGCAAAAGGAGUAGUUGUGCCCAUUUUGGUAAAAUUGCGGAAGAGGGCAGCGGAUGGGGUGGUCUUCUAUUGCUGGAGAGCCGCUGCAAUAAAGGGGGGAAGAAGAGUUCAGCAUGGGACGUUCUGCUUUUUCUUUUCCUGUUAGACUUUUUGACCAAGGAACUCCUGCGCAUGGCAGGAGAGCUUAGCUCUAGACUUCUCCUUUGUAGUUUAUGGUAGUUUUUCAUUUUGGCUGCUGGACACGCAUGACAGGAGAAAGGAAUUGAAGCCCACUUUCUUUGACUUUUCCUUAUUGUACUUCUGGAGUGAAUUUGCUUUACGAAUACUAGGAACAAUUAGAAAGCUUCAAUUGUUACCCGCGCCUUUCAUUUGCUUUCCAAUUGUUCGACGAAUUGCGGCUCCUGAAAUGCAGUCAAUGGCCGCGACUCUGGCUGAAAUUCCCCGCGGGCUUAGUUCAUCCAAUAUGAGCUAACCCCCUCAUUCUAGUCAAGAAACGACGGAUGCUUUGAUUCGCCUAAAAAUUGUGAGAUCGAUUUAAUUUAAUCUUUCUCUUUUAUUUAUUGGUAUUCGUGUAUUCCCUGAGUACUAUGCUUAUGGUUACCUAAUUAGUUGAUUGUCGUGGAUCCGGAUAAUUAAUUGAUGUGGUAAUCUAUUGUCAAUUGGGGUAUUAAAUCCGUAAUUGUUUAAUUACCUCAAAAUAGUGACAACUGGCACGAUUAGAUUCGUGUCAGGGGAUACGCGGGCUAAUCUAAAAGAACCCUGGUAGUGUGUUAUUUGGUUAGAGUAGGGCUCCUCUAAUACGUAAGGCAAUUGGGGAAUUAAAUUCUACGGGCGUACCUAGGAUUAUUUCUCAAUUAGAGCAGUGAUUAACGGGCGUACCUUGAUCACCGACACAGUAAGGAGGGGCUGGCUGCCAUCGUUUGUUUGACAGUUAUAACCUAUUUAUUGGUAAAUAAUUGGGAUUGCUUUGCAUCAAUGAUCAAUUAGGUAAACCAUUGCUGAAGUUAUUACUUGGCUAGAUCUUUAGUUAAUAUUUCCUUGAUUGUAGUGGAUUGCCAUUUGACUUUUAAUUGCCUACUUUAUUUUAUUUUUGAUUGUUUCCUUGUUUUAAUUAAUUUAGGCCUUCAAUUAUUGUUAUCCUGAGUUCAGUAAAUUGUGGUUUAAUUUCUAGUUAGUUGUUUAUUUUUACUUUCUCAUUUGAAUUUAUUUAAUUAUUAUCGUUCCUACAGAAUCACCCCCCUGCGUUACUUUGGAUUUCUUAAGAAACAAAUAUACCCAGUCUCUGUGGAUACGACCCUACUUGCCCUGUCUACAAAUUCAUAAUCAUUUGUGAAUAGGAAUAACCAUUCCAUUCGGGUAUAUCGGAUCAAGCAAACUCUUCGGGAACAGGGUGAAUCAAGUAACCCAUUGCACACCUAGAGUCCCUGCUCCAGUACUUGGAAUUGGGUUUUGGUCAUUUUAACUGGCAAUUAGGUUUAAUUUUAUUAUUGCACAGGCUGACGACCUGUCAGCAUACAAGGUACAAGUACCUUUUGAUGGCAAGCCACAGACUUGUGUUUUCCUUGACACCCCUGGACAUGAGGUAAUUAAUGAUGUAGCACUGGUUCUAACUUUUAACUGCUUCUUCAUGCAAGUUUUUUUUUUUUUGCUUUUUUAAAAUUUUUAUGUCAAAUGCUCUUCUUGGAGAUUUUGCAGACAUAUCUUAAAAGGCCUUUGUCAAGAUGAAUUAUCUAACAUAACUGUACAAAAUGGUUGGAUAGGCAUUUGGAGCAAUGAGAGCUCGUGGAGCCAGAGUAACAGACAUUGCUGUUAUUGUAGUUGCUACUGAUGAUGGAAUUCGACCUCAAACAGAAGAGGCCAUUGCUCAUGCCACAGCAGCUGGAAUGCCAAUUGUUAUUGCUAUAAACAAAGUGCGCUUGCAUUUAUUCUGAGAUUUUCCACUGUGUGUUGGCUUGUAUAUCAUUUAGUCUCAUUUGCAUUCUGCUUUUGAUGUAUGAAACAUGAUGACAAAUCUCCUCUUGCUCAUGGGAGUUGGCAUUUUCAGUUCUCAUAAUCACAGUACUGCUCAAGUUUGAUGUUUCUAGAUUUUUACAUCAUAGCAUAUUAUCUUAUAUGCAUUCUGUUUUUUGGGAUAAUUUUAAAAGUCCUUUGAGUUUCUGAUUAAUGGAAUGUAGAGCAGGGAGCACUACCUGUAGGUUGCUUCUAUUUAAAGAAAAAAAAAACUCCUGGCAAUUAAAAGUGUCAGCAUAGAAUUCGAUAUUCUAAUGUUGUACUAUACCUAUCCUAACACUUUCAAUUAUCAAGAAAAGAGAUUUUUGUUGGUAGAUGGGAUGUUAUAACAUCAUAGUUUUCCUGACAUGUUGAAUAGUAUGAGUCUAUCCUCACAUUGGAAGGGACAACACUCGCCCUAGGUGUGAGGAUAGAUAAAGUGUCAGGUUAGAUUUUCUAUACUGACACUUUUAAAUGCCGUUAAAGGCCAUUUUUGUUGUAGUGGUUCUUCUUCGCUGAGGACACGACCUUUAUCAUCAGCGAAGUAGCGAAAGGCAGAGAUUGAAGACGCUCGAGGAGUCCCCUCCAUUAAACGACCCAGCCCACUACGUAAAACGACAGAUCGCAUCGCCAUGGAUAAUGGAUAUCUUCUAGCUUUCUCCUGCUUUUACUAAUGUACCACACUACUUGAAUGGAGAGUUGACUGACUCCAAGAAAGGUGCAUACUUAUUCUUGU